rnacentral:rRNA from 1 species
AACGAACGCUGGCGGCAGGCUUAACACAUGCAAGUCGAGCGCCCCGCAAGGGGAGCGGCAGACGGGUGAGUAACGCGUGGGAAUCUACCCAUCUCUACGGAAUAACGCAUGGAAACGUAUGCUAAUACCGUAUACGUCCUUCGGGAGAAAGAUUUAUCGGAGAUGGAUGAGCCGGCGUUGGAUUAGCUAGUUGGUGGGGUAAAGGCCUACCAAGGCGACGAUCCAUAGCUGGUCUGAGAGGAUGAUCAGCCACACUGGGACUGAGACACGGCCCAGACUCCUACGGGAGGCAGCAGUGGGGAAUAUUGGACAAUGGGCGCAAGCCUGAUCCAGCCAUGCCGCGUGAGUGAUGAAGGCCCUAGGGUUGUAAAGCUCUUUCACCGGUGAAGAUAAUGACGGUAACCGGAGAAGAAGCCCCGGCUAACUUCGUGCCAGCCGCCGCCGUAAUAC